rnacentral:sRNA from 1 species
UUAUAGGUUGUACCAUGCGAAUCAGGUGAGCGACCCCCCCCCCCCCCCCCUUUCCCCGGGCACCGACACUGGGUCCGGUAAAAUGUAAUAACCAAUGCAAUAUUUAUUAUAAAAUGUUUAUGAUUGGCGCGAAGUCAAUGUACGUGUGCACAUGUAUUUUGUUUGAGUCUUUCUAUUUCGCGGAAUAUUUGUGACGUUUCCAUUGCUUGUAAAGGUUUCAUGACAAUAAAGUAGUCAAU